GUGACUCAGAUGGCUGCAACAAACAGACUCUACCUGUCAAGAGCCAAACGGCCUACAGUGUGAUUCCUGCAGCAGCUACUCAGACACUGUGUGUAACAACCCGGCAAACUGUGUCGGACUGGAGGAUACAUGUGCUGUUGUCAACGCAAGCACGGGUCUCUUCAAAGGCUGUAUAUCCUCAAAUAUGUGCAGUCUGUCUCUGAUGACCACUUUUGUGCCGUCUGCAACUAAAGAUGGGAUUUCC